AUAGAUAUAUCUGGUGGUUAAUGC
rnacentral:siRNA from 1 species